rnacentral:rRNA from 1 species
GACGAACGCUGGCGGCGUGCCUAAUACAUGCCAGUAGAACGCACAGUUUAUACCGUAGCUUGCUACACCAUAGACUGUGAGUUGCGAACGGGUGAGUAACGCGUAGGUAACCUGCCUGGUAGCGGGGGAUAACUAUUGGAAACGAUAGCUAAUACCGCAUAAUAUUGAUUAUUGCAUGAUAAUUGAUUGAAAGAUGCUAUUGCAUCACUACCAGAUGGACCUGCGUUGUAUUAGCUAGUAGGUGAGGUAACGGCUCACCUAGGCGACGAUACAUAGCCGACCUGAGAGGGAGAACGGCCACACUGGGACUGAGACACGGCCCAGACUCCUACGGGAGGCAGCAGUAGGGAAUCUUCGGCAAUGGACGAAAGUCUGACCGAACAACGCCGCGGGAGGGAAGAAGGGUUUCGGAUCGGAAAGCUCUGUUGUAAGGGAAGAAAGGGUGUGAGGGUGGAAAGUUCACACUGUGACGGUAUCUUACCAGAAAGGGACGGCUAACUACGUG